GCCGAGGUGGCGGAAUUGGCAGACGCGCAUGGUUCAGGUCCAUGUUCCCUAACGGGAUUGGGGGUUCAACUCCCCCCUUCGGCACCA
rnacentral:tRNA from 1 species